rnacentral:rRNA from 1 species
GAUGAACGCUAGCGACAGGCUUAACACAUGCAAGUCGAGGGGCAGCAUAAAAGUAGCAAUACUUUGGUGGCGACCGGCGCACGGGUGAGUAACGCGUAUGCAACCUACCUAUCAGAGGGGAAUAACCCGGCGAAAGUCGGACUAAUACCGCAUAAAACAGGGGCACCGCAGGGUGAUGUUUGUUAAAGAAAUUCGCUGAUAGAUGGGCAUGCGUUCCAUUAGGUAGUUGGUGAGGUAACGGCUCACCAAGCCGACGAUGGAUAGGGGAACUGAGAGGUUGGUCCCCCACACUGGUACUGAGACACGGACCAGACUCCUACGGGAGGCAGCAGUGAGGAAUAUUGGUCAAUGGGCGGGAGCCUGAACCAGCCAAGUCGCGUGAAGGAAGAAGGAUCUAUGGUUCGUAAACUUCUUUUGCAGGGGAAUAAAGUGCAGGACGUGUCCUGUUUUGUAUGUACCCUGAGAAUAAGGAUCGGCUAACUCCGUGCCAGCCGCCGCAGUAAUAC